rnacentral:rRNA from 1 species
UACGUAGGGACCGAGCGUUGUCCGGAAUCAUUGGCGUAAAGAGCGUGUAGGCGGCUUGCUAAGUCUUGCGUGAAAUCUCGGGCUCACCCCGAGCGGUCGUGGGAAACUGGCAGGCUAGAGUGCGGGGAGAGGAGAAUGGAAUUCCUGGUGUAGCAGUGAAAUGCGUAGAUAUCAGGAGGAACACCGGAUGGCGAAGGCCAG